CCCUGAUCUGGCAAAGCUCCCAUCCUGCCCUGACCCUGCCAUGGGCACCAGGCUCCUCUGCUGGGUGGCCCUCUGUCUCCUGGGGGCAGAACUCACAGAAGCUGGAGUGACCCAGUCUCCAAGAUAUAAGAUUACAGAGAAAAAACAGCCUGUGGCUUUUUGGUGCAAUCCUAUUUCUGGCCACAAUACCCUUUACUGGUACCGGCAGAACUUGGGACAGGGCCCAGAGCUUCUGAUUCGAUAUGAAAAUAAGGAAGCAAUAGAUGAUUCACAGUUGCCUAAGGAUCGAUUUUCUGCAGAGAGGCUCAAAGGAGUAGACUCUACUCUCAGGAUCCAGCCUGCAGAGCUUGGGGACUCGGCCGUGUAUCUCUGUGCCAGCAGCCCAGACGACACUGAAGCUUUCUUUGGACAAGGCACCAGACUCACAGUUGUAGAGGACCUGAAAAAGGUGUUCCCACCCAAGGUCGCUGUGUUUGAGCCAUCAGAAGCAGAGAUCUCCCACACCCAAAAGGCCACACUGGUGUGCCUGGCCACAGACUUCUACCCUGACCAUGUGGAGCUGAGCUGGUGGGUGAACGGGAAAGAGGUGCACAGUGGGGUCAGCACGGACCCACAGCCCCUCAAGGAGCAGCCCGCCCUCAACGACUCCAGAUACUGCCUGAGCAGCCGCCUGAGGGUCUCGGCCACCUUCUGGCACAACCCCCGCAACCACUUCCGCUGCCAAGUCCAGUUCUAUGGGCUCUCGGAGGAUGACGAGUGGACCGAGGACAGGGACAAGCCCAUCACCCAAAAGAUCAGCGCUGAGGCGUGGGGUAGGGCAGACUGUGGCUUCACCUCGGUGUCCUACCAGCAAGGGGUCCUGUCUGCCACCAUCCUCUAUGAGAUCCUGCUGGGGAAGGCCACCCUGUAUGCUGUGCUGGUCAGUGCCCUCGUGUUGAUGGCCAUGGUCAAGAGGAAGGAUUUCUGAAAGCAGCCCUGGAAGUGGAAUUAGGAGCUUCUAACUCGUCGUGAUUUCAAUAUACAUUCUUCUUUUGCCAGUGCUUCUGCAGAGCUGCUCUCACCUCUCUGCACCCCAAUAGAUACCCCCUAUGUGCAUGCACACAUGCACACUCACAGCUGAAAUCUCCCUAAUCCAGAGGCACCUUAGCAUUCCUAAGUGACUAAGCCAAUAAAAAUAUUCUGAUUUGGCCUGAC